AGAAUUUGAUCUUGGUUCAGGACGAACGCUGGCGGCGUGCUUAACACAUGCAAGUCGAACGGAACAUCCUUGACAGAGGUUUCGGCCAAUGAAGAGGAAUGUUUAGUGGCGGACUGGUGAGUAACGCGUGAGGAACCUGCCUUUCAGAGGGGGACAACAGUUGGAAACGACUGCUAAUACCGCAUGAAGCAGCGAGGGGACAUCCCCUUGCUGUCAAAAGAUUUAUCGCUGAAAGAUGGCCUCGCGUCUGAUUAGCUAGUUGGUGGGGUAACGGCCCACCAAGGCGACGAUCAGUAGCCGGACUGAGAGGUUGACCGGCCACAUUGGGACUGAGAUACGGCCCAGACUCCUACGGGAGGCAGCAGAGGGGAAUAUUGGGCAAUGGACGCAAGUCUGACCCAGCAACGCCGCGUGAAGGAAGAAGGCUUUCGGGUUGUAAACUUCUUUUAACAGGGAAGAGAAGAAGACGGUACCUGUUGAAUAAGCCACGGCUAACUACGUGCCAGCCGCGGC
rnacentral:rRNA from 1 species